CGUUCGGCUAGGGAUGUCGACCCCGAAAAACCGAAAUCAUCUGGCGGUCUGCCGAACGAUCAUUCAGCCAGA
rfam:Candidatus Thiomargarita nelsonii contig_388, whole genome shotgun sequence.